rnacentral:rRNA from 3 species
CCUGACCUCGGAUCAGACGUGAAUACCCGCUGAACUUAAGCAUAUCACUAAGCGGAGGAAAAGAAACUAACAAGGAUUCCCUUAGUAACGGCGAGUGAACAGGGAAGAGCCCAGCACCGAAGCCUA